rnacentral:rRNA from 1 species
GUUGAUCCUGCGGGAGGUUGCUGCUAGGGGGAUUCGAUUAAGCCAUGCAAGUCAGAUCGCAAGAUCGGCGAAAUGCUCAGUAACACGUCGUUAACAUGCCCUUCGGUCAGGGAUAAGCACGAGAAAUUGUGUGUAAUACUUGAUAGGGGAGCCAUCCUGGAAUGGAGGUUCCUUCUAAACUUGUGCCGGAGGAUUGGGUGGCGGCGGAUUAGGUUGUUGGCGGUGUAACGGACCACCAAGCCGAAGAUCCGUACGGGCCUUGAGAGAGGUAGCCCGGAGAGGGACACUGAGAUACUGGUCCCAGCCCCACGGGGUGCAGCAGGCGCGAAACCUUUACAAUGCACGAAAGUGUGAUAAGGGGAUCCCCCGUGCUCAUGCAUUGCAUGGGCUUUUUGUUAAGUGUAAAUAGCUUGGCGAAUAAGUGGUGGGUAAGACUGGUGCCAGCCGCCGCGGUAACACCAGCGCCACGAGUGGUAACCACGUUUAUUGGGCCUAAAGCGUCCGUAGCCGGUUUGGAAAGUCUUUUGUGAAAUUGUUCGGCUUAACCGAACAGCGUGCAAGGGAAACUUCCAGACUUGAGACCGGGAGGAGUCAGAAGUAUUCCAGGGGGAGCGGUAAAAUGUUAUAAUCCCUGGAGGACUACCUGUGGCGAAGGCGUCUGACCAGAACGGAUCUGACGGUGAGGGACGAAAGCCAGGGGAGCGAACCGGAUUAGAUACCCGAGUAGUCCUGGCCGUAAACGCUGCCAGCUAGGUGUUGCACCAGUCACGAGCUGGUGCAGUGUCGAAAGGAAGCUGUUAAGCUGGCCGCCUGGGAAGUACGGUCGCAAGACUGAAACUUUAAGGAAUUGGCGGGGGAGCACCACAAGGGGUGCGGCGUGCGGUUUAAUCUAAUUCAACGCAGAGAACCUUACUAGAGGCGCCGGCAGGAUGAAGGCCAGCUUGAAGAGCUUACCUGACAAGCCGAGAGGUGGUGCAUGGCCGCCGUCAGCUCGUGCUGUGAAGUGUCCAGCUAAGCCUGGCAACGAGCGAGACCUGUAUCUUCAAUUGCUAACAGCUACAUGUAGGACUGAGCACUUUGAAGAGACUGCCUUGGAAACGAGGAGGAAGGUGCAGGCUACGGUAGGUCUGUAUGCCCCGAAUCCUCUAGGCUACACGCGCGCAACAAUGGUUGGGACAAUGGGAUGCCACUCCGAAAGGAGAAGCUAAACCUCUAAACCCAAUCCAAGUCCAGAUUGAGGCUUGCAACUCAGCCUCAUGACGACGGAAUCCCUAGUAAUCAGAAGUCAUCAUCUUCUGGUGAAUAUGUCCCUGCUCCUUGCACACACCGCCCGUCAAAUCAACCGAGCAGGUUCUGGGUAAAAUACAGUUUAUUGAUUGUAUUGAAUCUAGGAUCAGUGAGGUGGGUUAAGUCGUCACAAGGUA